GAAGUUGUAGCUCAGUGGUAGAGCACUUGCCUAGCAUGCACGAGGCCCUGGGUUCAAUCCUCAGCACUACA
rnacentral:tRNA from 1 species